rnacentral:tRNA from 1 species
GCCGGGGUCCCACAGCCAGGUAGUGGGCCGGCCUCGAGAGCCGGUGGCCUUCCACAGGCCUCGUGGGUUCAAAUCCCACCCCCGGCG